AAAGAGCUAAUUAAUUAUAAAACGUUAUUGUUGUAAAAAUAUUUUUAAUAAUUAUUUUGAAAUGAAAUGUUAUUCGUUUUAAAAGAUAUCUAGUUUUUUUAGAAAAAGAUUUAAUUUUAAAUUUAUAAUAAGAAGUAAUUAAUUAAUUAAUUACUUCUUUGGAGAAUUUUAUACUUUAAGGGAUAAGCUUUAAAUUAAAUUUUUAUAAUUAAUAUUUAAGUUUUUGAAAAUUUUAUAAUUUAUAUUGUUAAUAAAUUUUAUUUUAUUGUAAAUAAUUUCAAUUAAAAAAAAAUUUAAUUUAAAAUUUAAUUUUAUAUAAAAAAAUUAAUUUUAAUAAUAAAAAAUUAAAAAAUUAUGAUAAAAUUAGUAUAUAAUAUUAAUUAAAUUUAAUAUUAAAAUUUUAAUUGAUUUAAUUAAAAGGAAUUCGGCAAAUAUUAAUGUUCACUUGUUUAACAAAAACAUGUCUUUUUGAAAUUAAUUUAAAGUCUAAUCUGCCCACUGAUUUAAUUAUUAAAGGGCUGCAGUAUUUUGACUGUACAAAGGUAGCAUAAUCAUUAGUCUUUUAAUUGAUGACUUGUAUGAAAGAUUGGAUGAAAUAUUAACUGUCUCUUAAUUAAUUUAUAGAAUUUAAUUUUUUAUUUAAAAAGUUAAAAUAUUUUAAAAAGACGAGAAGACCCUAUAGAGUUUUAUAAAUAAGUUUAUUAUUUAUUAUUUUUAAUUUCUUAAAUAUUUUUAAAUUUAUUUAUUUUAUUGGGGUGAUAAAAAAAUAAAUAAAACUUUUUAAGUGAUAAACAUAAAUAAGUGAAUAAAUGAUCCAAUUUUACUGAUUAUAAGAUUAAAUUACCUUAGGGAUAACAGCGUAAUUUUUUUUUUUAGUUCUUAUAAGAAAAAAAGUUUGCGACCUCGAUGUUGGAUUAAGAUAAAAUUUAAAUGCAAAAGUUUAAAAUUUUUG
rnacentral:rRNA from 1 species